GAGCGACAGCGGGAAGAGCUCAAAUUUAUAAUCUGGGCACCUUCGGUGUCCGAGUUGUAAUCUCUAGAAAUGUUUUCCGCGUUGGACCGCACACAAGUCUGUUGGAAUACAGCGGCAUAGUGGUGAGACCCCCGUAUAUGGUGCGGACGCCCAGCGCUUUGUGAUACAUUUUCGAAGAGUCGAGUUGUUUGGGAAUGCAGCUCAAAUUGGGUGGUAAAUUCCAUCUAAAGCUAAAUAUUGGCGAGAGACCGAUAGCGAACAAGUACCGUGAGGGAAAGAUGAAAAGCACUUUGGAAAGAGAGUUAACAGUACGUGAAAUUGUUGGAAGGGAAACGCUUGAAGUCAGACUUGCUUGCCGAGCAAUCGGUUUGCAGGCCAGCAUCAGUUUUCCGGGAUGGAUAAUGGUAAAGAGAAGGUA
rnacentral:rRNA from 1 species